AGCUUGCUCCCUGAUGUUAGCGGCGGACGGGUGAGUAACACGUGGGUAACCUGCCUGUAAGACUGGGAUAACUCCGGGAAACCGGGGCUAAUACCGGAUGGUUGUUUGAACCGCAUGGUUCAGACAUAAAAGGUGGCUUCGGCUACCACUUACAGAUGGACCCGCGGCGCAUUAGCUAGUUGGUGAGGUAACGGCUCACCAAGGCGACGAUGCGUAGCCGACCUGAGAGGGUGAUCGGCCACACUGGGACUGAGACACGGCCCAGACUCCUACGGGAGGCAGCAGUAGGGAAUCUUCCGCAAUGGACGAAAGUCUGACGGAGCAACGCCGCGUGAGUGAUGAAGGUUUUCGGAUCGUAAAGCUCUGUUGUUAGGGAAGAACAAGUGCCGUUCAAAUAGGGCGGCACCUUGACGGUACCUAACCAGAAAGCCACGGCUAACUACGUGCCAGCAGCCGCGGUAAUACGUAGGUGGCAAGCGUUGUCCGGAAUUAUUGGGCGUAAAGGGCUCGCAGGCGGUUUCUUAAGUCUGAUGUG
rnacentral:rRNA from 1 species